AUGCUCCCUGAGCUGCUUGAGUGAGGAGAGCUGAAAGAGCUCUAGCCCAUGGCGUACUUCUGCGUCCACCCCCUUGCCGUGGACUCGUAUCUGAGGCGGUCGGUCUUGCACAUGUGCGCGAUCUCCGGCACCAGCGGGUCGUCCGGGUUUGGGUCCGUCAGCAGCGAGCAAAUGGAGAGCAGGACCUUGGAGAUGGUCAGCGCCGGGCUCCACUGCUCCUUGAGAAUGUCCAGGCAGAUGUUGCCGUUGCUGUUAAUGUUCGGGUGGAACACCUUCGUCUUGAACGCCACCUGUUUCAUUUGUUCGUGGUUUUCAUUCAUUCAGUUCGUCGUCGUCGAUGAGCAUGAGAUUCUCAGCUCAGACUUCAUAACAUUGCAUAAUUCAGCGAAAUUUUGGAGAUGAAGAGUGGGUGAGUACCUUGGGAGGCUUGAAUGGAUAGUCUGGAGGGAAGUGGAUGGUGACCAGGAACACGCCUCCAGAGUAGGGGCUGUCGCUGGGGCCGAUGAUCGUCGCUUGCCAGUGGAAUAUGUCAUCAGACACAGGGCCUGAUCACAAAGAACAGUUGAACCAGAAUUCAGAAGAAAGAAAAUUCAACUUUGAACUUCCUUUUUCUUUGGGGUCUGAAAUUGUAUGCCUGACCAUGUGUACAC
rnacentral:lncRNA from 1 species